AUUGAACGCUGGCGGCAUGCUUUACACAUGCAAGUCGAACGGCAGCACGAAAGAGCUUGCUCUUUUGGUGGCGAGUGGCGAACGGGUGAGUAAUGCAUCGGAACGUACCGAGUAAUGGGGGAUAACUGUCCGAAAGGAUAGCUAAUACCGCAUACGCUUUGAGAAGGAAAGUGGGGGCUCUUCGGACCUCACGUUAUUCGAGCGGCCGAUGUCUGAUUAGCUAGUUGGUGGGGUAAAGGCCUACCAAGGCGACGAUCAGUAGCGGGUCUGAGAGGAUGAUCCGCCACACUGGGACUGAGACACGGCCCAGACUCCUACGGGAGGCAGCAGUGGGGAAUUUUGGACAAUGGGCGCAAGCCUGAUCCGGCCAUGCCGCGUGUCUGAAGAAGGCCUUCGGGUUGUAAAGGACUUUUGUUAGGGAAGAAAAGGAUAGUGUUAAUACCAUUAUCUGCUGACGGUACCUAAAGAAUAAGCACCGGCUAACUACGUG
rnacentral:rRNA from 1 species